rnacentral:pre_miRNA from 1 species
GAUUUCAACUGAAAAAGUCAUCAACAACAAAUUGUAUAACUCAUCAAGAUCUAUAAAUUUUAUUAUAAUCAUUUCUUCAUCCAACAAAGUUAUUUGUAAGAUUGUUCACAAAAUAAACAUCUCUUAUAUAGUUUUUAUAAAACUAUAUAAGAGAUUGUUCACAAACUAUAUAAGAUUGUUCACAAAAUAAACAUCUCUUAUAUAGUUUUUAUAAAACUAUAUAAGAGAUGUACAUUUUGUGAACAAUCUUAAAAAUAACUUUGUGGGAUGAAGAAAUGAUUAAAAUAAAAUUUAUAGAUCUUGAUGAGUUAUACAACUUUGUUGUUGAUGACUUUUUCAGUUGAAAUC